rnacentral:rRNA from 1 species
CAUCGGAACGUGUCCUGUAGUGGGGGAUAGCCCGGCGAAAGCCGGAUUAAUACCGCAUACGCUCUACGGAGGAAAGGGGGGGAUCUUAGGACCUCCCGCUACAGGGGCGGCCGAUGGCAGAUUAGCUAGUUGGUGGGGUAAAGGCCUACCAAGGCGACGAUCUGUAGCUGGUCUGAGAGGACGACCAGCCACACUGGGACUGAGACACGGCCCAGACUCCUACGGGAGGCAGCAGUGGGGAAUUUUGGACAAUGGGGGCAACCCUGAUCCAGCAAUGCCGCGUGUGUGAAGAAGGCCUUCGGGUUGUAAAGCACUUUUGUCCGGAAAGAAAACGCCGUGGUUAAUACCCGUGGCGGAUGACGGUACCGGAAGAAUAAGCACCGGCUAACUACGUGCCAGCAGCCGCGGUAAUACGUAGGGUGCAAGCGUUAAUCGGAAUUACUGGGCGUAAAGCGUGCGCAGGCGGUCCGCUAAGACAGA